AAAUUUUAUUUUGGCCAGGAGCUGAAGUUGGUUGUUUAGUAGUAGUAGUUUGAGUAGUGACCGAAGUAGUAGUCUGGUGUGUGGUAAUUGGGGCAGCUGUGGUCUCUUGUGGAGCUGGGGAAGACGGUGGAGCUGGUGUAGUUGCAGAAGGUGUGGGUGGGGCAGCUGUGGUCUCUGGUGGAGCUGAGGAAGAUGGUGGAGCUGGUGUAGUUGCAGAAGGUGUGGGUAGGGUUGACCACACUGCUAUUUUUAUCUGGAUGUUUAGGUGAAGGUGGAAGCUUAGGCCUACAGCGUUUGUGCAGACAUUUAUAGGACUUUCUAAUGAACGGCUUCUGGUGAGC
rnacentral:lncRNA from 1 species